UACGGGGGGGGGCAAGCGUUGUUCGGAAUUACUGGGCGUAAAGGGCGCGUAGGCGGCCUACUAAGUCGGACGUGAAAUCCCUCGGCUCAACCGGGGAACUGCGUCCGAUACUGGUGGGCUCGAAUCCGGGAGAGGGAUGUGGAAUUCCAGGUGUAGCGGUGAAAUGCGUAGAUAUCUGGAGGAACACCGGUGGCGAAGGCGGCAUCCUGGACCGGUAUUGACGCUGAUGCGCGAAAGCCAGGGGAGCAAACGGG
rnacentral:rRNA from 1 species